rnacentral:rRNA from 1 species
AUGGAAAGCACAAACGAGGGAGAUCACCAGGAUAAUGGCAGUCUGAAUACAUCGAGUGCCAUACCAAGUUGGGUACCACAGAUGGGCAUGAAAUUCGGCACUGUCGAUGAAGCAUGGACAUUCUGGGUUACUUAUGGGGGCAAAGUUGGAUUUGGUACUAGAAAGCGAUACCUCAACCCAAGUAAGUUUGAUCGGACAAUCACGUCGUGCAGAUUUGUUUGUCGCAAGGAAGGCCAUCGAGGAAAAGACAAAAGAGAUAAGCAUAUUAAGGAACCUCGAGCUGAGAUUCGAACCGGUUGUCUAGCUCGCAUGGGUCUCACAAUAAACAGAGAAGCGGGAAAUUAUGAAGUAACCGAUCUUGUUCUAGAGCACAACCACAUUAUGCAGUUGCAAGAAACAUGCCACUUUCUGCCAUCACAGCGAAAGAUAUCUGAAAUUCAAGCUUUUGAGAUUGAAAUUGCAGAUGAUUCAGGUAUUGGGCCAAAAGCUGCGUAUGAGUGUGCUAGUCGUCGAGUUGGUGGACCAUCUGUUCUUGGCUAUAUACGUAGGGAUCACAAAAAUCACCUACGUACUAAGCGCCAAAGGGAACUAAUGUAUGGUGAAGCUGGGAGUAUGUUAAAAUACUUUCAGGAUAAAGUCGCCCAAAACCCAUCGUUCCAAUAUGCCAUACAGCUGGACAAUGAAGAACAGAUCACAAAUAUAUUUUGGGCUGAUGCAAAAAUGUUAAUUGAUUAUGCUCAUUUUGGUGAUGUGGUUACUUUUGACACAACAUUUGGAACCAACAAGGAACUUAGGCCAUUUGGUGUAUUCGUUGGGUUCAAUCAAUUCAGACAAACUGUUAUAUUUGGUGCUUGCCUUUUAUAUAGUGAAACAUAUGAGGCUUUCAAAUGGCUAUUUGAAACUUUUCUCUUUGCACAUAAUCAGAAGCAUCCAAGAACUAUAUAUACAGAUCAAGAUGUUGCAAUGGGAAAUGCGGUUGAGGAUGUAUUUUUAAUGGCACGGCAUGGUUUAUGCACGUUUCACAUAAUGCAGAAUGCCAUCAAACAUUUAUCUUGUCAUAAGAAGGAGGAGGAGGAGGCGGAGGAGGAGGUUGAAGGGGAGGGGGAGGAGGAGGAGGAGGAGGAUGAACCACAUAUUCUUGCAGACUUCAGUGCUUGCAUGUAUGAGUACCGAGACAAGGAAACAUUUGAGGAAGCUUUUGACACCAUGCGAGGUAAAAUAGAAAAACAAACUUGGCUUGAUAGC